GACGAACGCUGGCGGCGUGCCUAACACAUGCAAGUCGAACGGAAAGGCCCUGCUCUUGUGGGGUUCUCGAGUGGCGAACGGGUGAGUAACACGUGAGUAACCUGCCCUUGACUUUCGGAUAACUUCACGAAACUGGGGCUAAUACCGGAUAGGAGCUCCUGCUGCAUGGUGGGGGUUGGAAAGUUUCGGCGGUUGGGGAUGGACUCGCGGCUUAUCAGCUUGUUGGUGGGGUAGUUGCUUACCAAGGCUUUGACGGGUAGGCGGCCUGAGAGGGUGACCGGCGACAUGGGGACUAAGAUACGGCCCAGACGCCUACGGGAGGCAGCAGUGGGGAGUAUGGCACAGUGGGCGGGAGCCUGAUGCGGCAGCGCCGCGUGCGGGAUGACGGCCUUCUGGUUAUAAACCGCUUUCGCCUGUGACGAAGCGUGAGUGACGGUAAUGGAUAAAGAAGCACCGGCUAACUACGUG
rnacentral:rRNA from 1 species